AGAAAGUUAUGGUGGGGUAUUGAAAAAGUAAGAGAGAGAUAGUGGUGGGUGAGCAUUUUUUUUGCUCACCAUUGGGAGAGGAAAUGUGGAAAAAAUUUGUCCAUGAGCAAAAUUGAUUUGUUGAGAGAGAAAGUGGGUAGAGAGAGAGUGGGUGAGCAUUUUUUUUGCUCACCAUUGAGAGUGGUCUAAGAGUCACCGCCUUCCGCCGCUUCAAAUUCCACUGGAAACUUCCUGCGCAAGAGUGAGAAAGAAGAGAGCAGUAAUUUUUGGGAAGCGGGAAGUGUGUUGCAGUAAUUUAAUGUGGGAAGUAACGGUUAAUUGAGUAGUGGGAAGUUGUAGUAACUUCUUGAACUAGUGCGCUAGGUUGAAGGAUGAUUGUGCCCCUGGAGAGUUAGUUUUUAAUUUUUUGUUUUUGUUUUUUGAAUUUAUUCUAUUUUAUGGUUUUAAUUGCUAAACAUGUACAUAGCUGCCCAUAUUAAGCAAUUAGGGGCAAAUUGUUAUGGGUAAAUUUUAGGAUUUUUUUUGACAAUUACCACCUACAAUUGUUGUUAUUUUAGCAAUUACCACGUUUAAUUUUUAUUUUUUUUUUGAAUUUUACCAUCUACUAUUUUGAAAAUAUCAAAAUUUCCCACCUACUUGGCUCUGAACUGAAGUGUCACUACUACAAAAAUGGCCUAAGGAACCACUCUUAAAGCACCAUAUAAAUCACUAAUCCAGUUUCUUAGAUAAAGAAACCUUACAGGAAAGAUAUCUGGUUUCGUAGAUGAAAAAUAAGAAACCAUACAUCAUAAAAAACCAGUUUCAGAUAAAGAAAUCUCAAAUUAGAAAUAUUUGGUUUCUUAGAUGUUUAACUAAGUUACCACACAUCACUAAAAUUCGGUUCUUUAUUUUUCAUUUAAUAUUUAAUUGUAAAAAAUGUUAAAAAAAAAAAAAAAAAAAAAAAAAAAAAAAACCUAAACUACCUUGAUAUUAACCGCCCCCUUCCCCCAUUUCUCUAAUCCUCUUCGCCAUUAACGAAAUUGCCUCACAAAUACAGGCCUCCCCUAUCCCCUAUUUCUACUAUCUCAGAGCUUCUCCAGCUUUCUCUCUCCUUGCCAACAAUGGCGGAGAAACCAAUUCUCUCUCAUCGGCGAAUUCUGUUUCGAAUUCUCUGAGUUUUUCUUCGGUCCGAUUUUCUUCGCCGGCGAAAAACCCUAACAAUGGCGAAUUCUCCGUUUCUGCGGCGGCGCCGGAAGCUAACAACCGUCCUUUGACCGGCGUCAUUUUUUGAGCCGUUUUAGGAGGUUAAGAAGGAGCUCUCUAUGGUUCCUACUGUUCCUCAGGCUUCUCUUGCUCGUCAAAAGUAUGCCGAUGAUUGUGAAUACGCCAUUAAUGAACAAAUCAAAUUACUACCUCUAACCAACAAAUCUGACGCUUUCUCGCUGUCGUCUUCGCAUCGCACCGUCAUACCCCUACAUAGGUCAUCUACUAUCUCCUUGGAUUUUCCGUAUAACAAACAUUGAAUUUGAACAAGUCAAAUUAAAAUGGGAUAUUGCAGACAUGCGGUUGAAGGAUGUGAAACGGAGCAGACAUAGUGCUUGAAUCUGGUCAAGAUUAGUGUUAUAAUUCAUGUAAUUUGAUUUGCUCUGAUCAAUGAAAUAUUGAGUUUAUUUUAAUCGUCAAUUUUUAUGUGUAAUGGCGUCAAUAUCAUUCUUAGGAAUAUGAUUUUAAUAGAGUACCUUUUUUGCAUUAUUUUUUUUACAAUUUUUUAACAAGUCAAUUGUAAUUACUCAUAGAACCGAUUCCUAUCUUUUAGUUGGACAAAUAGUACUGAUAUACUUGUUGAGUUGAUUCAUUGGCAAAAAAUAAUAACCAUUUGAUUUUUUUUUUAUUUUUUAAAUAGCAAAGAUACCGGUUAUCUCUAGAAACUGGUUUCUUAGACUGGGAUCAAAGAAACCGGUAACCAAAAAACAUUCGAUGCCUAAAGGAAGAACCAGUCUCUUUGCAUGAUCUUAGAAACCAGGUAAAAAACACGGUCUCUAAGCUAAGCUAAGAGACCUACUACCUAGGCACCGGUCAAUUUAUGGUUUCUUAGACAUAUUUUGUCCGGUUUCUUAGGCCAUUUUUCUAGUAGUGUGUGAUGUUAUAUGGGGCCUACUAACUACUAUCUCACCCAAUUUCCCUCCUUUUCUUUCUUUCUCUCUCGAUUUCUCAUUCCCUUAUAUUAUACUCCUCUCAUAAUUUGGGAAAAACUUCAAAUUAAAUUACAUAUUCAUGUUAAUUAUUUCACGAAUUGAAGUUUUUCCUCAAUUUUGAGAGGAGUACAAUACAGGGGAAUGAGAAAUCGAGUGAGAAAGAAAGAAAGGGAGGGAAAAAUGAUGGGAAGGUAGUUAGUGGGCCCCACAUGAUGUCACAUUUGAGUUGAGAGCCAAGUAGGUGGGAAGUUUUGAUGUUAUUAAAAAUAGUAGAUGGUAAAAUUCAAAAAAAAAAAAAAAAAAAACUGUAGGUGGUAAUUGUCAAAAAAUCCUAAAUUUUAAAGUAAGUCAAAGCCAACAAGAGUCAACGACAAAGAGUGAAGAUUGACGACCAGCCCAGACUCGACGGACGAAGCGAGAGUAACGACUCUCUUAUUUUCUAGGAAGAGAUAGGUUUGAGAGACUAAGUCUCCUAUCAUCAGAGUCAAGCCGUUAUCAAGCUGGGAGAAGUGCCACGAAUCAAGGAGUUAGUUGCCGAGAAUUAAGGAGUUGAUCUUAUCAUUCUCCAACAGCUACAUUAAACCCUAGGCAUCAUCUAUAUAUAGGAGAGGAAGCAUUGACGUUAGACACAUUGCAACCUAGCUACUAAAUACUCACUGAUCAUAUAUUGUAAUCAUUCUCAUUCAAUCGUUUUACAUAGUGAAAGUUUGAUAGAUCCUCAUUUUACCCGCGGUUUUCACCUUCUUUGGGUUUUCCGCAUCACUAAUUCCUUGUGUCAUUUAUUUAUUUCGUUAUUGCUUUUCUUAAAGGUUUUAUUUAGUUGAUCCGUAACCUAGAUUUUGUUACUCAAUCCCACUCUAUGAAAUUUAGCCAGUGAACAAGGUAAGCACCUGU